rnacentral:rRNA from 1 species
CUGACGAUCCGUGGUGGUAGUUUAAUAACCGUCCCCACGGGCAGCCCCCGGGAAACCUUUAAGUCUAUGGGUCCGGGGGAAGUAUGGUUGCAAAGCUGAAACUUAAAGGAAUUGACGGAAGGGCACCACCAGGAGUGGAGCCUGCGGCUUAAUUUGACUCAACACGGGAAAACUCACCCGGGCCGGACACUGUGAGGAUUGACAGAUUGAUAGCUCUUUCUUGAUUUGGUGGUUGGUGGUGCAUGGCCGUUCUUAGUUGGUGGAGCGAUUUGUCUGGUUAAUUCCGAUAACGAACGAGACUCUAGCCUGCUAAUUAGUGCGCCUGUCCUCUGUUCCUGUGUAGGCGGCUCUCAGCGCUACUGCCUUGCUAUGCUAGGCUGCCUGUGUGCGGUGCGCUCACGGUCGGCUGCCUCGGCUGUGUCUGCGUGUGUGUGUGCUGGGCUGGCAGGUUUGUCGACUCUUGUUGGCGAUGGCCAGUCUGUGUGUGCGCGCGCGCUCGCGGUCGUCGGGUGGCUGGCUAGCCUGGGUGUGCAUGUGCGCGGUGGUCGAGUUUAGGCGGUGGAGUCGGGGUUUGCUUCCGGGUACGGCGCAGGUGUCUACUUCUUAGAGGGACAAGCAUAUACAAAUGCACGAGAUUGAGCAAUAACAGGUCUGUGAUGCCCUUAGAUGUCCGGGGCCGCACGCGCGCUACAAUGACGGUGCCAACGAGUCUGACCUCCUGGCCCGAAAGGGUUGGGCAAACUGGUCAAUCACCGUCAUGUCAGGGAUCGGGGCUUGGAAUUGUUCCCCGUGAACCAGGAAUUCCUAGUAAGUGCAAGUCAUAAGCUUGCGCUGAUUACGUCCCUGCCCUUUGUACACACCGCCCGUCGCUACUACCGAUUGAAUGGUUUAGUAAGGUCCUUGGAUCGGUGCCAUUGUAGUGGCUGCCGAAAGGCAUGUCCACUCGACAGGCGCUGAGAAGACGACCAAACUUGAUC